GGCUAGGGAUAGCUCAGUUGGCAAAGCAUGAGACUCUUAAUCUCAAGGUUGUGGGUUCGAGUCCUAUGCUGGACA